rnacentral:rRNA from 1 species
GACGAACCGAGCGAACGUUGUUCGGAAUCACUGGGCUUAAAGGGCGCGUAGGCGGCUCUCUUGGUCGUGGGUGAAAUCCCCCAGCUUAACUGGGGAAGGGCUUACGAUACCGGGGGGCUCGAGGGAGGAAGGGGCGGUCGGAACUGUCGGUGGAGCGGUGAAAUGCGUUGAUAUCGACAGGAACGCCGGUGGCGAAAGCGGACCGCUGGCCCUCUUCUGACGCUGAGGCGCGAAAGCCAGGGGAGCGAACGGG